GUCUUCGCUUCAGAAGCAUGUAAACUAAAAUGGGAACAGUACAGAGAUUAUUAACAUGGAUCCUGCACAAGGAUGAGAAUUCGUGAAAUAGUCCAUAUUUUU
rnacentral:snRNA from 1 species